GUCCCUGUAGCGCAAUGGAUAGCAUGUUGGACUUCUAAUCCAAGGGGCUUGGGUUCGAAUCCCACUUGGGAUG
rnacentral:tRNA from 1 species